CUCUCCACCUCUCGGCCGCUGGCCGAUUCCAACCGUUGUCGGCUAUUUCCGACGCCGUCCAACACUCCCUCGUCUUCUCCUCGAUCCGGCCUAUCUCCUCCACCAACUGGAUUCGACGCUCGCCUCCUCCUAGUGCGCCCGUGGCUAACCCUAGCCGCCACUGUUGCCGGCGCACGGCGCCGUCAUGGACGCCGGGGCGGCUCUGACGCCCCUUGGUGCUCAUCCUCGACACCUCCUGCACGCUCACCCGCAUCACCAAGGCCGUCGGCGUCAUCGCCUCCAGUCAUGCCACACAUGAGUGUGCUUCCCAAUCUGCGUCGUCUUUAAGGGCGUGGAGCAAUGGAGGUUGGCUCCUUCUCCAUGGUCGCGUGCCGGGAGAGGAGUCAGCCCCGUAUGGUUUUGCGGCAAGGGUUUGCAAGCAGAUCUCCCACUUUGGGACCAAUCGAUACAACUCUUACAGGAUCAGGGUAGAUCUACAAAGUCAAUACGCAAAGCGAAUUACACGAAACAGCAGGGCAGGCAAACGAGAUAUGAGAACACGAUACGUCAAGAUGGAUACCUCCAACCCUUCCUUUAUUUGCUGCUUCACUAUAUCCUCAAUUCUUCUCAAAUCUUCGGGCUGAACAGGUUUCCCUGUUAUUAUGUACUAACAAUUGAGUUGACAAGCUUAGAAAAAACAUCAUGCGGAUGCAAUGUAAAAGGAA